rnacentral:rRNA from 1 species
UACGUAGGGGGCAAGCGUUGUCCGGAAUCAUUGUGCGUAAAGAGCGUGUAGGCGGUUCGGUAAGUCGGCUGUGAAAGUCCAGGGCUCAACCCUGGGAUGCCGGUCGAUACUGCCGGACUAGAGUUCGGAAGAGGCGAGUGGAAUUCCCGGUGUAGCGGUGAAAUGCGCAGAUAUCGGGAGGAACACCUAUGGCGAAGGCAGCUCGCUGGGACGUUACUGACGCUGAGACGCGAAAGCGUGGGGAGCGAACAGG